rnacentral:tRNA from 1 species
GAGGGUAUAGCUCAGUGGCAGAGUGCGUUCUUUGUAUGCAUGAGGUCCUGAGUUCAAUCUCUAGUACCUCCA